rnacentral:rRNA from 1 species
CUGGCCUCAAAUCAGGUAGGGCUACCCGCUGAACUUAAGCAUAUCAAUAAGCGGAGGAAAAGAAACUAACUAGGAUUCCCUUAGUAACGGCGAGUGAACCGGGAUGAGCUCAAAUUUGAAAUCUGGCGUCUUUCAGGCGUCCGAGUUGUAAUCUAUAGAGGCGUUUUCCGCGCCGGACCGCGUCCAAGUCUCUUGGAAUAGAGUAUCAAAGAGGGUGACAAUCCCGUACUUGACGCGACAACCGGUGCUCUGUGAUACGUUCUCAAUGAGUCGAGUUGUUUGGGAAUGCAGCUCUAAAUGGGUGGUAAAUUCCAUCUAAGGCUAAAUAUUGGCGAGAGACCGAUAGCGAACAAGUACCGUGAGGGAAAGAUGAAAAGCACUUUGGAAAGAGAGUUAAACAGCACGUGAAAUUGUUAAAAGGGAAACGAUUGAAGUCAGUCGUGUGGGAAGUAUUCAGCCGUCUCUGGCGGUGUAUUUGCUUCUCACGGGUCAACAUCAGUUUGAUCCGGUAGAAAAAGGCGGGAAGAAGGUGGCACCCUCGGGUGUGUUAUAGCUUCCUGUCAUAUGUGCCGGACCAGACUGAGGAACGCAGCUUGCAGCAAUGCCGGGGUUCGCCCACGUACAAGCUUAGGA